AUUCCAAAAAGUCCUUAGUAACAUCUCAGAGAUCAUUAACUCAAAUCUUGGACUGUGGCUUUAGUGUAGUAUUAGGCAUCCUUGUAAAGCUAAAAUGUCCUAGAGAACAAGGCUGAUGUAUCCCUUUCCUCUGCACCUUCUGUAGCAUCUGGAGAGAAAACUGGCUCAGCAAGGACUGAAUGAGUUAUUCUUCCGCCAAAUGAACACAAAUAAACAAAAGAACAAAGGAAGCCAAAGACUUCUGUCCAACAAAGAAGUGCAGUGAGGAACUCUGAACAAGACAGCGAUGGAAGAAGGUUUCAUGAAUACUCAGAACUCAGAUAGUCUGGCUGAUAGCAGCAAGAGAAAUGGAAUUUAGGGUUCUCGAGAUAUAAAUAGGCUCAAAUAAUUACGUAACUGUGAGUCAUUAAUAUCCUUGCUAUGGCCUCAGAAGGCACGAGCGCCUAACUCUGGUUUGAAUUUACCUCUUCUUAAAGUCAAGAUUUAUGCAUCAGCCUUACAUCUUUAUCCAGGCAAUGUGGAAUGGAUUUCUCUCUAAUUCAUUAAAGAAAAAGAACAAUCAUGGAGAAAAGGAAAGGAAAAUUUUAAAUAUUCUUUUCUUCUUGUUCUUGAUUCAUUCCCAACCUUCAAGAUUUAUAUGUGAUGCUUGUUUUGCCCUGGUAGAAUAAUGAUUUCUUAAACUGCUAAUGCAAUUAUCACCAUCAUCAUCAUCAUCAAUUUCAUCAUUUUAAUUCCAUGUGAAAGGGAAGGAGAGGAGUCUUCAGUUCUUUACAACUCUCUAUAGAAAUUUGUUCAAGACCCUGAUCCCAGUGUAUAUCUACAGAACCAUACCAUGGCCUGGUGGGCCAUUUCAGGAGCCUUCAUUCAUUCAACUGACACAAGUAAAGAUGAAUAUUAUUUUUCUUCAAAGAGCUCUUAGGGAGAAGGAUAAUAAUCUGAGAUACUGGGAGGACUUAAAGAAAUAAUAAGCAAAUGCUUUCAUCAUCAUCAUCACCAUUGUCAUCGUCACCACCACCAUCAUCAUCAUCAUUCUAUCUGCGUUGUGCCCAGCACUCAAAGGGUCGAUUUUGCAUUUUAAGUCCUCCAAUAUGUUCACUGGCCACCAGAGGGCAGCAAAAAGAAGUAUAAUGGUACCAGAUGAAAGUUGGGAACUCCACAAAGGAAUGAAGAGGGCUGGAAAUGAUACAAUUGACCAAGGAGUUGAGCAAAACCAAUUAGGCUCUCACAUAGCUGCAAGGCAACUGAGUUCUGUCUUCAACCAUAUUUCCUCUCAGAAAAUGUAAAGAAGAACAAGAAGUUUCUAUGACAGCUGCAAGACAUUCUCCAUGAGCUACGGAAUGGUGGGAUCGUCACCCCAUCCAGAGAUAGAAGGACUCAGUCUUAAAGGUCACGUUAACAGGUUAGCUCUCAAGCCAAGCCGUUGGGAUCCAGGAGAAAGAAAAAGCAAAGGGGCUGGACCAGUUUACAUUUCCCACCUUCUCUGAAUUCCAUUUCCUCUACACCCUCAGAAAUACUUGUUGUUUCUGAUAUGGGUCAUUCUUACUGGUGUGAGGUGGUUUUGAUUUGCAUCUACCCAAUAGCUGAUGAUGAGCAUUGUUUUCAAAGAGUCCUAAGGGGAAUGGAGUGUGUUGAGAAUACCAUGUUGGCCACAUUUUCUUACGAUGGAAACAGCAGUAAACAAUGACUCUCCUAAGUGGCA